rnacentral:lncRNA from 1 species
GGAGGAAGCAGAUGGCGGUGGGUUGAGGAGUAGUAGGAAGUGAGAAGAGAAGAAGGAAGACAGCCUGCGCAGACAGGCUUGGGCAAGUUUGGCUGUGAAAGGGAGAAGGGAUGAGGGACGGGAGAACAGACCUGGGGUCAAGAGAUUUGGUGGCUGAUUUUUUUUUUUUUUGACUUUUCAGUGCUGGGGCUUGAGUGUGCCAGGCAAGCACACUAGUGUUGAUCUGUAGCCUCGUGCUUGGCCUCUGACUAGGACAGAAAUGCUGGUGGGGGCUGGAUAGCUUUGUGCAAAGAGGUAUCCAGCACUUGGAAGGUAAAGGUUGGAGGAUAUGGAGGUCCAAGAGCAUCCUCGACUACACAAUGAGAAGAGAAAACUGACUUCCACUGCCCUCCACAUGUGGGCCAUAGGACAAGCAUCCAUGCAAGCAGGUGCACACACACACAAGUAUCCAUGCAACCAGGUGCACACAUGCACAGGACAAGCAUCCAUGCAAGCAGGUACACACACACACACACACACACACACACACACACACACACACACGACAAGUAUCCAUGCAAGCAGGUGCACACACACACAAAACAAGUAUCCAUGCAAGCAGGUGCACACCCACCCACCCACACCAAGUAUCCAUGCAACCAGAUGCAUACACACACACACACACACACGACAAGCAUCCAUGCAAGCAGGUGCACACACAUACACACAAACACACACACCCCAAGUAUCCAUGCAAGCAGGUGCACACAUGCACAGGACAAGCAUCCAUGCAAGCAGGUGCACACACACACACACACACACACACACACACACACACACACCAAGUAUCCAUGCAACCAGGUGCGCACACAUGCACAGGACAAGCAUCCAUGCAACCAGGUGCACACACACACACACACACACACACACACACACACGACAAGCAUCCAUGCAAGCAGGUGCACACA